ensembl:lncRNA
AGCGAUGCGGGUCUUCCCGAACGGAGGAAUGCUUCUCAAUGUAGCUCAUAGCGAGACUCGGAGCUGGUGUGUGCGUGUGCGUGUGUGUGUGUGUGUGUGUGUGUGUGUGUGUGUACCAUUCUCUCCAUAAGUCUUCCAUACCUUGGGGUUGGGCUCUCAGAGUUAACCGAACACUAAACAGAGGUUUUAAGACGACAUCUAGCGAACCCCAGUUCCUGUUUACUUCUCGACGUUUCCGAGGAGCAGCAUAAAGACCAUUCCUGAAUGUCCCCCCUGGUGAUUAAUAAAGUGUGAUUUUUUAUGAGAUGUUCUGUAUUAAUCCCAGAUGGGAGAGGGGGGUUAUUGUAGGGUGAGCCUGGUUCUGGUCCGGUUUAAACCCAAAGCAAUGUUCUUCAUCAUCUUAUAAAGUACACUGAUAAAACGGUCACAACGGCCUCCAAAACAUGAAGAGGACCGGUGAAACCUGCCCUGAUUAGACCAUGAGGCGCAACGCCGCAUUGCGUGUCAGAUCUUCUAUAUUAAUAACCUUACCCCACUUUUCUAUUUUUGUAAGAACCCCCCCCCCCAAACCAAAGCACUUUUCUGUUAACAAUCGCCGUGUACAACGGUGUCUCUACCUUCACCUGACCCGUCAAACUCUAACCUCUAACCUCUCCCCUGUUCCGAGCAGAAGCAACAGAUCCACGGCGUGGAAACACAUUAAUUUAUUACUGAGAAGUAGGAAAGGUCUAGAAACACCGGAGGAGGUCUGACGAGGAACCCCCACACUCCGCCGGAGAAGACGACACAAUAAAAACCCUGUCCGGGCUCUCGGCUGUCCCGUGUUUAGUCUGAGCUCUGGGGACGCCCCUCGCUGAAUGAAGGAUGGACAACUCGAUGGCCAAAGGACUAUUUAUUGUGAAACACUGGCAGGGGUCAGGUAACUCAUAGAAAACGCAUAUUAAUAUUACAGAGAAACACGUUUACAAAACUGGUUUAAGGGCUUUCGAUAUCUUCAGGUUACCUAAAACACGGGUAUGUCUUCGAUCCUGGAUUGGUCUCCAUUUUUUUUUCUUUUAAAUGCUUUUGAAAAAAUGUAUUUUUUUGCAUUUAUUAAAAAAAUAUACAUGUAUGGGAAUAAAUAGGUUGGGUUUUUUUGAGGAGGGGGGGGGGGGUGCUGGGUUAGGACAAGCGCUAUAAACAACGUAAGAAGACAUUAAAUAAAGGAGACCUCCACACUGGCUCAUCGAUCCUGGGAGUAUGGACCACGGUGUGAUCAGACGUCUGUGAACACUUCUGUCUCUGGUCACUGCUGGCCCAGAGGACAUGUGCUCUGUGGUCUCAAAUCGACCAGAUUUACCUCAAAUCAAUGAUGGAGUUUAACAAACAUAAUUCUCAGGUGAACUCAUUCAUUAAUUGGGCCCAAUUAAGGUUUUUAAGAAGGUUUGGGAGUUACAAGUAUAUCAAAGUAUGCUUUUCUAUAGGUUGGUCUUUUUCUUGACAGGUUAUCGAGUGCUUUCACCGAUCAAUUAAACCCUCUGAUCGUUAUUAAACCGGCUGAUCGUUAUUGAACCAGCUGAUUGUUAUUAAACGUCCUCAUAAGGGUCGGAGCGACCACUAUGAAGCUAUCGCGGAGAUACUUUGAGAGAAUACAUUUACAUCAGGUCCUGCUUGCCGUACCCUCGUCGUCAUGGAUACCUGGCGGGGGGGGGGGGGGGGGUUCUAAAGGACGGUUGGCUCUGUUAGUUUGGCAACGUAGAACAUCUUAUGGGAAAAUAUGACUUCCAUAAUAGUAAAAAGUAUAAAAAAAUGACUGCUUGCUCAAGCAGUAACGCAGCUUGCCCACUGCAUCCGUCCGUCAACGGAUGACGGAAGUCAUGGCUGACUGAUGGGGGAGUCGUCUUUACAGAGGCAUUCGUCAGCCAAGCCCGGAGCUGAUGGAUCCAACGGAGCGGCUGGAUCCACAAUGCAUUGCGGCUCCGCCCCAUUCAAAAUCAAUGGGAUCCGUCCACGGACGGAAGCAGUGGGCAAGGGGAGAAAGUUUGGAGGGCUCUGGUUUUUCUGUUUGAAACGUUCUAUCAAACCUCUCUAUAUUAGUAACUAACGUUAGACUAACGAUGCGUUAUAGGGACUAUCACCGUGUAACACUUAACGUCAAAAUGUUUCCUGGGUGAUGAUCGGACCUUCGGAAAGAACCUCUCCCGUCGUGUUUUUCGUAUCGGUAAACAAAGACAAGAACGGGGGGGGCGGAGGAAUACUGAUCAGUGGCGGGACCUCGCGGUAGCGUCGCGGGACCGAGGCGGAGUCUCUGUCCUCUAAUCCCGAGCCUCGAACCUCUAAAGGUGUCGCUGUUACAACCGUCCCCAACACAGUCCCAUUCAAAACAAAGCGGUCCAGCAAGGCCCCACACACACAGACACACCGCCUCUCUGCCCUGACCUGACCUUUGAGCCUUGGAACGACGCCAGCCUCUAACCUCAAACCCCCUCGCUCCCCUGAUACCAGGUGUGUUUUUGUGUGUGUUUGACGGGGGGGUGGGGGGGGGAUGACAACUACGCACACACAAUCACACCACGGUAGGUCCCCGGUCCCCCUGAGCCGAGGACAUGAAGCCCCUGAUAUGAAGUCCAGCAGAGGGAUCCGGACCCUCCCGGCCGGCCCUCCUCCACGCGUUCACCGAGUCCGCCGCGGCCAGGCCGCGGGCCACGGGGCCCUACGUGUUGUACUCCUCGUCGCUGGGCUCUGAUUUGAUGUCCUCGGGGUUGAGCAGGGGAAACUCCUGGUGCACGGCGGUGCGCGUGCACACGUACCACUCCUUAAUGUUCGACACCUGAGGUAGGCAGCGCCGCUGGCCGCGGGCGCCCUGCUUCUGCUGGGCCAGGCGGCUCUUCAUCAG